GCGGGCGUGAUCUAGCGGUUAGGAUUUGAGCCUUCCAAGCUCACUGCCCGGGUUCGAAUGCAUGCCCUGCG
rnacentral:tRNA from 1 species